ACUGCAAUCUUGUAAGAGCAUGCGCAACGGUGUGUUUUAGGGAGUCCUUAGCGCUAGAUUAUAGGGUAAUCACAUUAAAAAUAAAUGAAAAAAGGCAAAUAAGCGAAGGAUCAGUCCGUGUAGAAGGAACUUAAGGACUUAAUCCUUAGGGCAGCUGGCACGCUUUGAUUGGGUCGAGUUGUGUUUGUGUGUCGUGGUCACGAAAAAAAAAAUCAUUCGACACAAACGUAGAAAAAAAAACUCUCGAAGAAACAGAAGGCGAUUUUCGAUCCAUCUCGUUCCAUCUUCUUCCCUCGCGUUCCAAGAUAAAUCGAGAGGAAUCUGUAGAUUUAUGGUAUUAGAUUAGGUUCCUUGUAGUUUUCCUGUAAAUUUAGGGUUCGUUUUGCUUUUUUAAAUCGAAUUGGGGAUUUUCGUUUCAAGUUAGGGUUUCAAAUGAUUUGGGUUUUCAAUCGAUUUGUAGAGGUUUUGGUUAGUAGUUACGGUUCCGAAACUGAAAUAGGUUUGAUUAACGAUUUGCUUAUCUGCUUUUAACCAUUGAUCCAUCUGGUUCUGUCUGUCUGAUUUCAAACGAUGAAUGCUUAUCUGCUUCGUCUGCUUUUCUGCUUUGACUCAAGGUUUUAUUUUCUUGUGAAACUUAAAACACGAUCCUUUGUGUGUUUACACGAUCCCCCUCAUCUAUGCUUUGAUAAAUUUCUGUUUGGUUAGUCGUCUGAUGAUGAAUGCUCUGUGGUAGUUGUUGUUUCACUUUUGUUGUUCUAUUUUGUGCUUACAUAUUUAAAAAUUUCAGGUUAAGCAAACAUGGGCCAAGACUAUAGCUACACCCAGCCUUCCUCAUCAGACGAGUAUGACUUGACCUCACUGCUUGAAGCUGAAGCGGCUUUGUACGCCGAAGAAGCUGAGAGUAGCUACAACAUUGGUGAGCCUGUUCAGUGCCCACCUCAGCCGUUUCAGUACUUAUGUGGGGGACAUACAAAUGCGGAGGAGAUGCGUGCCUUUGAGACACAACUUAGUCUUCUCAAGGAUCAAGUUCGUGCGAGUGACCAGAAGCUGGCUACGCUCGAGAAGACCCUGUGUGAUGAGUUAUGCAAGAAGACAUCAUGGGUUACAAUUCUUGGAGUAUCUCUUCUGCUGAGCCUUUUACUUUUAAUAGCGGUGAUAAUUCUUGGAGGAACAGCUUCGAAGGAUAGUAGAAGACUAUCUAACGUGCAGAAAAGCGGUGAAAACGAUGAUGAUCUGAUGAAAGCCGCACUAGACUACUACUUCAAGGAUCAAGGCCACAAGUUUGGCAUGGAACACGCCUGGAGGGAGCUGAGGCAUGACCAGAAAUGGUGCUCAUCAUGUAAAGACAGUGGGAAGGAUAAGCGCAAACAUGUCGUGGAGGUUGAUAUAGAUGAGGAAGAGGGCAGACCGGUCGGGGUCAAGGCAGCGAAAGCUGCUUCUAAGAAGAAGAAGAGUGGGAAAGAAGAGGAGUUGUCGCGUUUACAAACCAUCAUGGAGAUUAAACAGAAACUCUCUAACCAGAAACUUCUUGAUCGUUUAUUAGCUAAAAAAGUGCCAUUAACUGAGAUGGAAACAUCACUUAAGCUGAAGUUAAUGUCUGAAAUGUUAUGAUGUUUUUCUCUUUAGGUUCCGCAGUAAAAGAGGAAGCAAGUCACGGGUGCCUUUGGAGUGGUGAAAGUCUUUUCUUCUGUAGCUCAUGUGAAGCAAGUCACGGGAAGUCCUUUUUCUGCUAUAAGUUUGUGUCUCGGUUUCUAUCUUGCCAUCACUUCUUCCUUCCUUUUUUUUCCCGAUUCCAAUCUGGUCGAGAAGAAGUUGUUUUAGUUUAUUGUUGUUGUAACAUUUAGCUACUACUCCAAGUUGUAAGUUUGGCUACAACUCUAUCUUGCCAUCAGUACUAUUUUUAAUCAGAUAUGUCAUCAUCUUCAUCCGAUGAAGUCGAUGAAAGAUUGGACGAAAUUUGUGAAGAAUACGUAGAAGAAAUAUACAACGACAUAGUGGAGGCCCAAACCAUACCGCAAAGGACACGUGCAUAUGUAGAACGACACCGCGAAGGAGGACAAGACCAAUUAUGGAAUGAUUACUUCAGCGAAAAUUCGACUUUCUCGACUCAAUUAUUCAGACGCCGUUUCCGCAUGAAUAAGGAAUUAUUCUUGCGUCUUGUUCAUGGCCUAGAAGCGUCCUUUCCAUUCUUUCAGCAAAGAAGAGAUGCAACCGGCAGGUGGAGUCUUACUGCACUACAAAAAUGUACUGCAGCUAUUCGUCUGCUCGCUUAUGGUACCGCGGCCGACACCGUUGACGAAUAUCUGCGACUUGGUGAGACCACUGCACUUUCGUGUUUACAUAAUUUUACUGACGGAAUAAUACUGUUAUUCGGAGAAGAGUAUCUACGACGACCCACACCGGAGGAUCUUCAACGACUACUCGAUAUUGGAGAGAAACGAGGGUUUCCUGGGAUGGUCGGGAGCAUUGACUGUAUGCACUGGGAGUGGAAAAAUUGCCCAACCGCUUGGAAAGGACAAUACGCCCGUGGAUCAGGAAAACCGACAAUUGUAUUAGAGGCUGUAGCAUCCCAAGAUCUUUGGAUAUGGCACGCCUUUUUUGGUCCUCCAGGUACCUUAAACGAUAUUAAUGUCCUCGAUCGGUCUCCUGUUUUUGAUGAUAUUUUAUAAGGUCGAGCUCCGAGGGUAAAGUACGUGGUCAACGGACACACGUAUAAGUUGGGGUACUACCUCACAGACGGUAUAUAUCCAAAAUGGUCAACAUUUAUCCAAUCUAUUACCCUUCCUCAAACUCCUCAACAAGAGUUAUUUGCUAAAGUUCAAGAAGCAACCCGGAAAGAUGUGGAGCGGGCUUUUGGAGUACUUCAAUCUCGAUUUGCAAUUGUGAGAAAUCCGGUCAAAACAUUGAACAAAGACAAGAUAGGGAAGAUUAUGCGAGCAUGUAUCAUACUUCACAAUAUGAUAGUCGAAGAUGAACGGGAUGGAUACUCUCGUAUUGAUAUAUCUGAAUUUGAAGAAGGAGACGUCCCCAGAUGUUCAGAAGUGGAAACCGAGUGGCCAACAAAUCUGAAUAAUAUCUUUCCCACUCGAAAUGAUCUUCGUGAUAGGCAAACACAUGAACGGUUGAAAACUGAUUUAAUUCAAAAUAUUUGGAAUAAAUUUGGUGAAGAAGAUUAGAAAUUAUUCUAUCUUUAUGUAAAAUUAAUGUUCUUUUCUUUAAUUGUUGUCUUUUUAUGUUUAAUUAAUGUAUUUUAUGUUUAAUUAUGGAAUUUUAUGUUUAAUUAUGGAA